UGGAUCACCUCCUAACAGGGAGACAACAAAAUGUUUAAUAUUAUUAUUUUGUCACCUUAGGUCGAUCGGUAUCUCACAUUCUUAAUUUAUUAAGAAUUUCAUUUCCUAAGUUUUUCUAGGUCACACCCAUUAUUUUCCCUGGGCCAUUAGCUCAGGUGGUUAGAGCGCACCCCUGAUAAGGGUGAGGUCCCUGGUUCAAGUCCAGGAUGGCCCAUAUCUCUAUGUUGGGGGUAUAGCUCAGUUGGUAGAGCGCCUGCUUUGCAAGCAGGAUGUCAGCGGUUCGAGUCCGCUUACCUCCACUGAUUACCACCUCUUCCAUAAUCUGUAGAAAGGGAAUUUUUUUGAGUUGUGAUCAUAAUUCUGAACGAAUCUAGCUUCCUAAUGAAACCAUUAAGAUGCUGGACUCAUUGAAUUGAUUUCAUUGUUUUCAGAGAACCUUGACAACUGCAUAGAUUAUUUUUAAAGACAAUAAGCAUCUUUAAUGAUGCAGAUUUAUUAUUUGUGCAAAUGCAUUAAUAACAAUUCAAUUAAGCUGAUGCUUCAAUUUUGAAGUUAUUGGUCAAGCUACAAAGGGCUCACGGAGGAUACCUAGGCACACAGAGGCGAUGAAGG
rnacentral:tRNA from 1 species